GGUUGGUGGUUUAGGAUGGGGUUUCACGGUGGGAGGUUUUGGAGUAGGUGGUUUUACUGCCGGUGGUUUAGGUGGUUUGACGGCAGGAGGUUUAGGCGGUUUGACUGGAUGUUUUGGUGGUUUGUGAGGUGCUGGUGAUGGUUUAGGAGGGGUACAGUCGCAAGCAUAGGAGACGGCAACGAAGCCAAGGAGGAGGAGGACGAGAAAGGAGAGGUUUUGAGAGCGAGACCCCAUUUUUUGGAAUGAGGGUUUGGGUUUCUG
rnacentral:lncRNA from 1 species